rnacentral:rRNA from 1 species
AGCUUCAGUAGCGUAUAUUAAAGUUGUUGCAGUUAAAAAGCUCGUAGUCGCAUUUCUGGCGAGAGGAUCCGGUCCGACCUUUUGGUGGGUUCUUGGGUCUCUUUCGCCAUCCUUGAGUGGUCCGUUCUGGCAUUAGGUUGUCGGAGCGUCAGCCGCUCAUCGUUUACUGUGAGAAAAUUAGAGUGUUCAAAGCAGGCUUAUGCUGUUGAAUAUAUUAGCAUGGAAUAAUAAGAUAGGACCUCGGUACUAUUUUGUUGGUUUGCGUAUCAAGGUAAUGAUGAACAGGGACAGUUGGGGGUAUUUGUAUUUCGUUGUCAGAGGUGAAAUUCUUAGAUUUACGAAAGACAAACUACUGCGAAAGCAUUUACCAAGGAUGUUUUCA